UACAGAGGUUUCAAGCGUUGUUCGGAAUCACUGGGCGUAAAGGGUGCGUAGGCGGCGCGGUAAGUCGGGUGUGAAAUCUCGGAGCUUAACUCCGAAACUGCAUUCGAUACUGCCGUGCUUGAGGACUGGAGAGGAGACUGGAAUUUACGGUGUAGCGGUGAAAUGCGUAGAUAUCGUAAGGAAGGCCGGUGGCGAAGGCGGGUCUCUGGACAGUUCCUGACGCUGAGGCACGAAAGUCAGGGGAGCAAACGGG
rnacentral:rRNA from 1 species